AAGCGGGAAGCAUAAACAGCAGUCAUUUUUCAUACUUCUGGAAGCCAAGAGACUGAAAUUGAGAUAUUUGAUGUUACAAGAAAUGACGGUCAUGAUGCAAACCGAAGCACCCUUAUAUCAUUUUGAGUCAAAUGAUGCAGUGAAUGGGAAUUUUCCAGAGGAGUCUGGAGUCGAGAGAGGCCAACCUGCCUGCCCAAGGCAAUAGAGGUGUCAGAAGCAGAGUUUGUAUUUUAGACUCAGUCUACUGAAUCCAGGAUAUUAAAAAUAUAUAUUUAUGAUAAAGUAGAGAAAUAAAUAA